rnacentral:rRNA from 1 species
UAAUCGGAAUUACUGGGCGUAAAGCGCACGCAGGCGGUCUGUUAAGUCAGAUGUGAAAUCCCCGGGCUUAACCUGGGAACUGCAUUUGAAACUGGCAGGCUUGAGUCUUGUAGAGGGGGGUAGAAUUCCAGGUGUAGCGGUGAAAUGCGUAGAGAUCUGGAGGAAUACCGGUGGCGAAGGCGGCCCCCUGGACAAAGACUGACGCUCAGGUGCGAAAGCGUGGGGAGCAAACAGGAUUAGAUACCCUGGUAGUCCACGCCGUAAACGAUGUCGACUUGGAGGCUGUGAGCAUGACUCGUGGCUUCCGGAGCUAACGCGUUAAGUCGACCGCCUGGGGAGUACGGCCGCAAGGUUAAAACUCAAA